ensembl:lncRNA
UUUUUUUUGGAAAUGGUGUCUCACACUGUCACCCCGGCUAUAGUGGCACAAUCAGGGCUCACUGCAGCCUUGACCUCCUGGGCUCAAGUGAUCCUCUCACCUCACCCUCACAAGUAGCUGAGACUACAAAUACACGCUACCAACCCUAGCUAUAUUUUUGGAAUUUUAGUAGAGAUGAGGUCCUGCUAUAUUGCCCAGGCUGGUUUUGAACUCCUGAGCUCAAGCAAUCCUCCUGCCUCAGCCUCCCAAAAGUUGUGGGAUUACACGUGUGAGCGACCACGCUCAGCGGGAAUGGGUUUUUCUUAAAAGUCAAUGGUGACCUUGAUGGCAAUAUGACUUUUACCUUUCUGUCACCAAACCAAGGAAAUCACUUGUGUCUAAACCUAAAGAAUGAGGUCAUAUGGUUGCCAUUGAAGAAUUAGGUACCUGGUUACUAAGCCAGCAGUGUCUCUGGGUAACUUGUUUCUUACCUCAUCUCCUCAGAUUUUAGGCAAUUUUUAAGCUAGGUCUUCUUUCUAUAAUGCUGAUAGAACCGUACCGCCAAAAAUAUCCAAAGGCUCCACUAACCUAAAGGCUCCAACCUCAUCUGUGUUCCCCUGGAAAUUCUCAGUGCAAAACCAACCCCAAGAAGAGGCCGGGUGUGUUCCACCAACAGGCCUGGUAGAGACCGGGAGAGGAAAAGCAGUCCUGGUCAGAGAGGGCUCCAGCUGGCCAGAGUGCUGCAUCUGGUGCUCUUCUUGGUGAGUGUCCACUAGAAUCUCCCAGGCUGAUGGAGGUGAGGUGGGGUCCUGCCUACGAGGGUGAGCAGCUGCUCUGCUGCUGUUCACAUUUCAGGAGACACUGGGUGCUCACAGUAGAAAGAAGCAGAAUGAGGUGCCUCAUUCCCUGCUGCAGGAAACCCACGCCCUCAAGUCAUUCAGAAAUGCCCAUUUAGCUGGGCACAGCUCCCUGAUGGCUAACUCUGGGGGCUUUUCCCCAGGAGGACCCAGUUCUUCAACUUGAGACAAAGUUGAAGGAAGAAGAAGGGGUGAGAAAGUCACGGGGUAAAAUACACCAUGGUGCCCUUCUCACCGUCUAUCCAUGACUUGACUUGUCAUCGUCUAUCUAUGACUUAUCUUGGUUAUAGGCUAAAUCCUGGGAAGGAGGGCUCUGAACCAAGGAGGCAGCGAUUCAGGGAUUUUUCUCUUCCCCUAACCUAGACCAUGGCCACACGCCAGGACUGGCAUCCUAGAAACUGAGGGCUGCGCAGAACUCCUGACACCCUACUAGUGUUCUCUUUCCUCCCAGACAGGCUUCCCUUCUUUUCUUUCCUCCUCAAGCAGCUCUGCUCUGGAGCAAUCCAAGAGUUUUAGGAAAGAUUCAUUAUGUUGGCAGGAUAAUUGUGUGCAGCAAAGAAGAACUCAUUUUCUGCACUUUUGUCUACAGACCAAACUGGUGACACCACCAAGGAUCUACAGUAGGCAAGAGAGGAUAAUAAAUACUGGCCAUGCUGAAUAGACUGAAAGUUCCUUUGUAGAAUAAAUACCCCAGAUUUUGGGGUACAGGUCCUGUUGCUCCUACAGCAUUUCAAUCAACUAAACAGGGACACUAAGUUAGUCUCUCUCUGUGCCUCUGUCUCACUGGGAAAAUUAAUUUUUUCUUUGGCAGAUGGUUGAGUCACAAAGACAGAAGGAUUCAUAAAAUUCACAUGAACAUCCUGUAAACAUUUAAACACAUAAAGAUUAAAUACGGCAACCAUGACCUUGAUUAAAGUUAAACUGUUUUUUGUGUCUACAAUGCUAAGCCCUGCGCAAUGCCACACCCCUUUCGAAAUGCUCAGGCCUCACUGGGCAAGUUGUGUGUACAUGCAAGCACGUGCUGUUUGAUUAACUUGUUUUAAAGCAGGGAAUAAAAGGUGUCAGAAGAAAGCGACCAUUCGGAACACCUAAACACAAAAAUCUCUAUUAAACUGGAUGGCGUCUACAACACAGGGAAAGUCAAAAUAAAAUCAAUGAACAAAAGUGAUACAAAAUAUACUCACUGUACCCACUCUGUUUCAACUCCUGCCCCUUCCC